rnacentral:lncRNA from 1 species
AGCCUGAAUGACAGAGUGAGACAGUCUCAAAAAACAAACAAACAAAACCCAACUUUGGGUCACGCAUCCAUCCUUGACCAAUUAGCUGUAGCUAGGGAAGUGGAGUCCUACGGACACAGCAAACCACCACGAGAAUCAUGGAGAUGAAUAGGGGCAGGAUAAUUUACCAGAGGAAGCCUAGAGUGGAGUGCUGGACAGACCACCAUGUGGAGUUGCCAUCUGAGGACAUUGCUACUUGGAUACCCCCACAGUCCAGCCGAGCUGCCAUCUCUUCAAGGAAGUUUUCCCUGAAGCCCUCAGGUAGACCCGUUUUUCCAUGGCGGCCACAUCAGCAUGCAGCACAUUUAAUUGGAAGUCUCCACAUAUGAGUUGGUUUUCCUUACUUAAAAUAUGCUUAUCAUCCCUUGGAGGUCUGAUGCAUUUUUCUGUCUCUGCAGACCAGCUCCUCCCCCCUCCAAAUCUCAAUGGAAGAAUGCGACAUUCUGGAUUCAGCUACCCAAAGAGGGGUUUUUUCCCCCUCUUUGUCUCUAUUAUACAUUUUAUAGGAAGGAAUUCUGUCCCAGUUAAUUCAAACUGGGACCAGAGGAACAGGGUCCCGCUGCUCAAAAUGGCUGUCACCCGUGGGUAAGGGGAGCAGUCAGAGAGUCAUUGUGACUGGGGUGGCAGUCCCACUCCAAUCUGCCUUGUGGCUUCCUAGCCUGCAACAUACAUCCUCCCAGACAUACAAAAUGUGCCUCUGCCUGAGUCUUCCUGGCAGGGAGUUUGGUACCCCCCAACAUUGGGAGGGGAGCUUACAACACAGGACUAUCUCUUCCCAUAGAUAAUCUCCUCACAAAGCUCCACUCAGGACCACUUAUAUUCUUGAGCACUUGAAAAUAUUGGCUAUUUCCUUCUGACCCCCAUGGUUUCUUUUAAAAAAUUUGCUGUUGUUUGAAUUAUUUUUCUCUACAGGUAUUGACUGCUGCCUCAUGAAGGCUGGUCCUGUCUCUAUAGUGAAUAUUGUGCACCUCAGGGUAGAAUGGAGAGCAGAAGACUUCAAAUCAGGCAGUCUGGGUUCAGACCCCAAUUCUAGUGCUAAAUAGCUACGUGACUUUAGGCCGAUUGUGUGUGACUUCCCUGAGCCCCAGUCUCUUUGCCUGCAAAAUGAGAAAAAUUAUAACAAUGUCAUCGGUUGUUCUGAGGAUUCUGAGAGGAAUUAGUAGGAGAGAGAACUAAGAAGCUGCGGGCCUCUACAGAGCCAUUCAACUGGCAUUUCGGAAGAUGUUGCCCAUCAGAGUCAGACCUUCUUAGCAUCUUCCGGCUGGGCCCAAACUUCCCAAGACCAUUUGGACAAGGUCAUCUCUAUCCCACCAUGGCCUCCUCCCAGAGGAGGAGAAGAAUCAUGCUGUUACAGCAGAACCGAAGAUUUGGGCAAGGGAGCUAAUGAUUAUGUUCUGCGUCAGGUCAGAGAUGGGCUGGGAAAGCCACUCCAAAGCCAAGACAAGCAGUUUCCUGGAAAAAGAAGGCUGCGCGGAGCCCAGAGUGGCCUGGAUCCUGCCUCAUUUCCUGGACCAGCUCCUUAGGUGGUUACUGGAUUGCCAAUAAAGCAGAGCUUAUUAAAGUCAACGAGCUCAGGCUUCAUCGCCGCCAUGGUAUCCAAGCACCAGUCUGUCUGGGAUUUCAUUUGCCAGAUGGACAAAGGAGAGGUUGUUCCAAUACAUAUCCUGAGUGGUGGGGGUGGGGAGAGAAGGGGAAGAAUGCUCUCUAGAGAAUUCUCUUUGUCCUCUGAAGUAAAUAGAGAUCAUGUCUUCCCCAGCCACACUCAGUGAUCUGAAUCUCUUGGACUGUGGAUUUUUCCUUUACCUGCUGUGAAGCCUUGAAAAGUAUGAAUUAGCUUGAUAAUGAUCCUCUAAAGAUGUUCAAGAGUUAAAGACGUGUUUAAGUUCUUCAGGCAAUCCAAUAUGACUACGGGUUUCCAAAAAUUUGAAGGAAACUGAAAAUCAUAGUUCCCAAACCAGAUAUUUUCCGGUGUCCAGAUGUUCACUGGCAUGCAAACCAAAUGUCUGGAUUAUGAGCUCCUUUUUUCAUUUCUUUUUAUCAGCUUACAUCCAGAUGUUGGAUCCAACUGGUCAGAGGCCUGGGGCAGAGACAGAAAUCAAAUCUAGGGUGUUCAUCUAGAGUCUCCUGCUCCUCCAUUCCUGCUUCCUCCUCACGCUGCCCCCACAUCCUCCCCAACUCACCUUCAUGCUACAUCUCGGCAAAUACAGCUCAUAUCCAGGCACGGUGCAGCCCUUGACAGCUGGGUCCGCAAAGGCAGAUCGGGUAUAUCUUUAAAGAAAAGUUAUCUUAACCAUUGAGAAGCCUUCCUUCCUCAGAGGAGAGCACCUCCCCAGCAGACCUCCGAGGAGACCAAGGGCAGGACAGGAAGGGUGAAAGGAAGUUUCAGGACUGCAGGAAAUAAGAGCUUGGAGGUCAAGGGAGAGAUCAGAUAAAACAUGAAUCUGAUCAGCAUCCUAGUGGUCUAGAGUGGAGACAAUCUGCGGAGUCAACCUCAGUAAGGACACACAUAGAGAAGAACCAAAGCCUCUAAAGACGAAGCUGAGAAGUGUACGGUCGUAGAAGACUCGUGUCUGUUAUUCUUAAAAGCUCAAGGAGAUGUUCUGCCAAUUGAAUGGAAACUGUCCAUAGUGGGGAGCAGAGAGCCUCAUCUUUUCUGGAACUGAACAUCCAUCCUUAAGGCCAGAUUUCUCCCAUCACCAACUUUAACUCCUGCCCUAGCCCUCUCUCUUCCUUUUCAAAACCCUCUCCACCCAGGAAGGGAGAUUCUGGAGCCAAGACUGUACCAGCCACACCUCCCCAGAGUUGUUAAGGAAGGAACUCGAAGCCAGGGGUGGUCUUCUGGCAAGCACCCCCACUACCAGUAGCAGGACAGAUGUGUUUCUAAUGGACUACACUAUCCCCGGAGGUCACAUGAUUCAGGCUGCCAAGGGUACCUGCCCUUGGGAAAUCAACUCCCGAAGAUAAAUUGGGAUUGGGUCCUGAGAAGAUCCAUGGAAGCCCAGAGGACCCUGCCUCUCUCUGUUGCUUCAUGCUGUAGAGGCAGUACUGGGGAGGGCCUGCCCCACAUCCGGCAGGGCAGCUGGAACCAUGUGUUUGAUGACACUCUGCUCCCUCAAUGUGGAGCCUCAUCCUCAUCUCACAGUCUAGCAGGCCUCUGGUGGGUUAGGCUUGUCUCACCCAGUGUGUGAGUUUUUUUGGAAGUGACCUGAUUUUGGAGUUUCCCUCCAAGCCUUUCUCAGGUACAUGCUUUCUCUUUUAUUCUGUCUUCUUUUUUUGAUCUUCUUAAAUCUGAUUUUCUCCUUUUUCCCUCUCUUGUCUCCAUCUUUUUUCCAGUCUCUCGCUUCUCUUUAUUUCUCCCCAUAUUUCACUCUGUUCUCUCACCCCAACCUUUCCCUUCUGUUUCUCUCCCUCCCUCUCUUCCCACCCCCUGCCUGGCCUUCCAUAUAUCAAGCAGAGUUUUAUCACCUUAUGCAGGGGCAGCCCUGCCACCUGCCAUAAAGUUGAUAGGCUAAUGACAUUUUGUGGAUAUUGCCAUGUCACAAGUCCAGGACAGCAUCAAAAAUAGCCCUGAUGUCUAAACCACUUCAGCUAUCUUUUUUAUUUUUAAAAUAAAUACAUUCACAUGCUUUUAAGAAACUAUAAAAAUAUAUAAAGUAAAAAGAUCUUUCUCUCACACUGUCUCCACCUCUCCUGGUCUCACCGUUGUGCUUAGGGGAAACCAUUGUGAUUAGUUUCUCCUGUGUCCUUCCAGAGUGUCUUUAUGCAAAUGAAAAUUAUUGUGAUAAUAUAUUCCUAUUUUCCCCCUUACUACACAAAAGAUAGACUACCAUAAUCCCAUUCUGCACUUUUUUUUCACUUGAUAAUAAAAACAUGAUUU